UCUUUGUAAUAGAUACCAGAAUCUAAACAUACGAUUUCAGAUUCCAAAGAAGCCAUCCGAAGUAGCUAAAUACAUAGUAUUAGUGCUGGUAUUUUCUGUAUUAACCAUCUUAUUAUAGUUAUGUAUAUGUCUACGCUGUCUGAAAAGAUGAAAAUACUCGUAAUCGCGGACUCUAUGAUUAAAUAUUAAAAAAAAUAUUUGUCUGCGAAUCCACUUGUGUAUGAAGAUGAGUUUCAUUGCUUUCCACUGGCUAAGAUUGAAAGGUUGACACCUUUCAUAGAACUAUAAAUUACUAUGUAAAGCGGGUAAUGACGUCAUUUCUUAGGGGAUGAUUCACUUUCUGUUGCUGCCAUAAUGAGAAAUUUAGGCUGGAAUCAUAUCAGCCUAUUCUUAUUUACAAACCUCAGGGAAAACCAAUAUUGUGUGGUUCAAAAGGCCUUAACACACUGCCUUAUGCAAAUAAGUCUUUUGCAAUAAGAUUUCAGGCAAAGGAACAAAAAGAAAAACAUGAUGUUGUAGCAGGACUUUUAUGUAUUGAUUCUACUCACAAAGCAAAUAACACGUGAAUCUAACUGUACACAAGCUGGAACAACUGGAGAGGAUAGUCAAUCAGAAAGUCUGAUGCCUGAAGAAAGGUCCUUAAUUUCCAUGUGGAGACAUGUGUACGAACCCUGAGAAAUGAAUGGGACAGUUCUAUAUCUCCUGUUCUACUGGACCAGUUGUCAAAAUUUAACUUAUGUUUUCCCAUGUCUCGAAAGCACGAACUUGGGAUAUAUAUUAGAUUUGUUAUUAUUAAAUGUAAUUUUGUAGAUGACACUACUAUUACGAAAGCAGAUUUAUUAAGUCAAUCACGUGACCACUCGUGCCUUGGAGUUGAGAGUAGAUAUUCUGUUUUAUUUUAGCUGGUUUUGCAACAAUUUUUUUUUUUUUUUUUUGUCU